CUGCUUCGGCAGCAGAUAUACUAAAAUUGGAACCACACAGAGAAAAUCAGCAUGACCCCUGUGCAAGGAUGACAUGCAAAUUUGUGAAGCGCUCCACAUUAAA
rnacentral:snRNA from 1 species